GACGAACGCUGGUGGCGUGCUUAACACAUGCAAGUCGAGCGGAGCGGCGAACGGGUGAGUAACGCGUGAGUAACUGCCCCCCUCUCUGGGAUAACAGUUGGAAACGGCUGCUAAUACCGGAUAGUGGGGGAUGACUCGCGGCCUAUCAGCUUGUUGGUGGGGUAGUGGCCUACCGAGGCGACGACGGGUAGCCGGCCUGGGAGGUCGACCGGCCACAAUGGGCUGAGAUACGGCCCAAACGCCUACGGGAGGCAGCGGGGGGGAAUAUGGCACAAUGGGGGAAACCCUGAUGCAGAGGCGCCGCGUGCGGGAUGACGGCCUUCGGGUGGUAAACCGCUUUCAGCCAUGACGCGGUAGUGGCAGAAGAAGCACCGGCUAACUACGUGCCAGCCGCCGCGGUAAUAC
rnacentral:rRNA from 1 species